rnacentral:rRNA from 1 species
AGAGUUUUGAUCCUGCGCUCAGGGGUACACUGCUGGGCGGCGUGCCUAAGACAUGCACGUCGAACGGAACAGUNCUUCGGACUGUCAGUGGCAGACGGCUGAGUAUCGCGUGGGUGAUCGUACCUAUUGGUGGGGAAUAACUGCCCGAAANGGGUGGCUACUACCGCAUACGUCCACUGGAGUUGUCCAGUGGGGAAAACCGCAAGGUGCCGAUGGAGCGGCCCGCGUUCGAUUAGCUGGUUGGUGGGGUAACGGCCUACCAAGGCGACGAUCGAUAGCUGGUCUCAGAGGAUGAUCAGCCAGACUGGGACUGAGACACGGCCCAGACUCCUACGGGAGGCAGCAGUUAGGAAUUUUGGGCAAUGGGCGCAAGCCUGACCCAGCAACGCCGCGUGGGUGACGAAGGCCUUCGGGUUGUAAAGCCCUUUUCUGGGGGAAGAUGAUGACGGUACCCCAGGAAGAAGCACCGGCUAACUACGUGCCAGCAGCCGCGGUAAUACUUAGGGUGCGAGCGUUGCCCGGAUUUAUUGGGCGUAAAGGGCGCGUAGGCGGUCACGCACGUCCGUUGUGAAAUCGCUCGGCUCAACUGGGCGGGGUCAGCGGAUACGGCCGUGGCUGGAGCAAGCUAGGGGGCAAUGGAAUUCCCGGUGUAGUGGUGGAAUGCGUAGAUAUCGGGAGGAACCCCAGUGGCGAAGGCGGUUGCCUGGAGCUUUGCUGACGCUGAUGCGCGAAAGCGUGGGGAGCGAUCCGGAUUAGAUACCCGGGUAGUCCACGCCGUAAACGAUGCGGACUAGGUGUCGGGGGUAUCGACCCCCUCGGCGCCGACAGCUAACGCAUUAAGUCCUCCGCCUGGGGACUACGGCCGCAAGGCUACAACUCAAAGGAUUGUCGG